rnacentral:rRNA from 1 species
CUGGUUGAUCCUGCCAGUAGUCAUAUGCUUGUCUCAAAGAUUAAGCCAUGCAUGUGUAAGUACACGCCAAAUUAAGGUGAAACCGCGAAUGGCUCAUUAAAUCAGUUGUGGUUCCUUAGAUUGUACCACAUCCUACUUGGAUAACUGUGGUAAUUCUAGAGCUAAUACAUGCAAAUAGUGCCUCGAGCCCGUGAGGGUGAGGGGAGCAUUUAUUAGACCAAAACCAAUGGGGAUCUUUUUCCCCUUUUACUUGGUGACUCUGAAUAACUCUCAGCUGAUCGCAUGGCCCAGAGCCGGCGACGUAUCUUUCAAGUGUCUGCCUUAUCAACUUUCGACGGUAGGUUACAAGCCUACCGUGGUUAUAACAGGUGACGGGGAAUCAGGGUUCGAUUCCGGAGAGGGAGCCUGAGAAACGGCUGCCACAUCUAAGGAAGGCAGCAGGCGCGCAAAUUACCCACUCCCGGCACGGGGAGGUAGUGACGAAAAAUAACAAUACGGGACUCUACCGAGGCCUCGUAAUUGGAAUGAGUACAAUUUAAAAUCCUUAACGAGGAUCUAUUGGAGGGCAAGUCUGGUGCCAGCAGCCGCGGUAAUUCCAGCUCCAAUAGCGUAUAUUAAAGUUGUUGCGGUUAAAAAGCUCGUAGUUGAAUCUCAGUUCUGGACGAGCACGGGUCCGCCAUAACACUGGUGGACUGCUGACUUGCCCGGUGCAAAACCGCCCGGCUUCCCCCACGGUGCUCUUCACCGAGUGUCGUGGGUGGCCGACACGUUUACUUUGAGAAAACCAGAGUGCUUAAAGCAGGCGCAAAGACGCCCGAAUGACUGUGCAUGGAAUAAUGGAAGAGGAUCUCGCUUCUGUCUUUGUUGGUUCCUCGGAAGGCGAGAUAAUGAUUAAUAGAAGCAGUCGGGGGCAUUCGUAUUGCGACGUUAGAGGUGAAAUUCUUGGAUCGUCGCACGACGAACUACUGCGAAAGCAUUUGCCAAGAAUGUUUUCGUUAAUCAAGAACGAAAGUUAGAGGUUCGAAGGCGAUCAGAUACCGCCCUAGUUCUAACCAUAAACGAUGCCGACUGGCGAUCCGGCCUAGUUACUCGCACGACUGGCCGGGCAGCCUCCGAGAAAUCAAAGUCUUUGGGUUCCGGGGGAAGUAUGGUUGCAAAGCUGAAACUUAAAGGAAUUGACGGAAGGGCACCACCAGGAGUGGAGCCUGCGGCUUAAUUUGACUCAACACGGGAAACCUCACCAGGCCCGGACACCAAAAGGAUUGACAGAUUGAGAGCUCUUUCUUGAUUUGGUGGGUGGUGGUGCAUGGCCGUUCUUAGUCGGUGGAGCGAUUUGUCUGGUUAAUUCCGAUAACGAACGAGACUCUAGCCUGUUAACUAGCCGGUGGAUCAUUAAUUUGUAUGCGGCGAAGCCUGUGGUGAUCCUGUACAGGAAGCACCCGGCAUAGUCGCGUCCAUCGAGUCUUCUUAGAGGGACAGGCGGCGCUUAGCCGCACGAGACGGAGCAAUAACAGGUCUGUGAUGCCCUUAGAUGUCCUGGGCCGCACGCGCGCUACACUGAAGGAGUCAGCGUGCGCUCCCUGCCCGAGAGGGCCGGGUAACCCGCUGAAAUUCCUUCGUGAUUGGGAUCGGGGUUUGCAACUAUCCCCCGUGAACGAGGAAUUCCCAGUAAGCGCGAGUCAUGAGCUCGCGUUGAUUACGUCCCUGCCCUUUGUACACACCGCCCGUCGCUACUACCGAUUGAAUGAUUUAGUGAGGCCUUUGGACUGGCUCGCCGGUGCGUGUCACUUUGUGGCAUCGUGCUGGUUACCGGGCCGGGAAGCUGGCCAAACUUGACCAUUUAGAGGAAGUAAAAGUCGUAACAAGGUUUCCGUAGGUGAACCUGCGGAAGGAUCAUUA